rnacentral:tRNA from 1 species
UGCCGGGUCGUCCAACGGCAGGACCGCGGCCUUUGACGCCGUUAAUCUUGGUUCGAAUCCAAGCCCGGCAACAA